rnacentral:rRNA from 1 species
GCUGGCGGCGUGCCUCAUACAUGCAAGUCGAACGCGAAAGUAACCUUCGGGUUGCGAUUAGAGUGGCAGACGGGUGAGUAACGCGUGGGUGACCUACCUUCGAGUGGGGGACAACCCCUGUAAUGGGGGCUAAUACCGCAUAACAUCCUGUUCUUAGAUGGACAGUGAUCAAAGCUGGCCAAGCUUCGGCUUGGCUAGUGCUUGUUGACGGACCCGCGUCCGAUUAGCUUGUUGGUGGGGUAAUGGCUCACCAAGGCUUCGAUCGGUAGCCGGCCUGAGAGGGCGGACGGCCACACUGGGACUGAGACACGGCCCAGACUCUUACGGGAGGCAGCAGUAGGGAAUUGUUCGCAAUGGGCGAAAGCCUGACGACGCAACGCCGCGUGGAGGAUGAAGAUCUUCGGGUUGUAAACUCCUGUCGGGAGGGAAGAAUAGCCUGUGGGUUAAUACCCCAUAGGCCUGACGGUACCUCUAGAGGAAGCCCCGGCUAACUCCGUGCCAGCAGCCGCGGUAAUACGGGGGGGGCGAGCGUUGUUCGGAUUUACUGGGCGUAAAGGGCUCGUAGGCGGUGGUCUAUGUCGGUUGUGAAAUCCCCAGGCUCAACCUGGGAACUGCAGCCGAAACUGGGUCACUAGAAGCCGGGAGAGGGAUGCGGAAUUCCAGGAGUAGCGGUGAAAUGCGUAGAUAUCUGGAGGAACACCCGCGGCGAAGGCGGCAUCCUGGACCGGUCUUGACGCUGAGGAGCGAAAGCUAGGGUAGCAAACGGGAUUAGAUACCCCGGUAGUCCUAGCCCUAAACGAUGAAUGCUUGGUGUGGCGGGUAUCGAUCCCUGCCGUGCCGGAGUUAACGCGUUAAGCAUUCCGCCUGGGGAGUACGGUCGC